UUCAUUUAAUGAGUGCUCUUUUGGAGAGAGAUUUCUUUUAAAGUGCAUGCAGGAAAACGUAUAAUUGUUACUAUAAGUUGAUGUAUAAAUUGUUGGCUAUUUUGGAGAUGCAGUUAGGUUGGGCUUUUAAAGUAACAAUGUUUACAGAGAUUUUACCUCUUAAGAAUUAAUAAAUACAUCUAUGUCUAAGUUGUAGGUUAAACAUAUAUUUUUUCCCAUUCUAAUUUUGACAAAAUACAAUGUAAUAUACAUGUUAGAAAUCAAUUUUCUAAGUUCUAAUGAAACUUCAAAAUUUUCAUCUACAGAGAGAGAAGUUUGAGCAGAAGUUUGAGCAGCCAACUGCCAGUUCCAUUUUUCUAGGACCCUCCCUAGCAAGGCAAUGUGGAGAUAAGCAGAAUUGCUAGAUACCUGCAUACCUGUAGUAAAACAUUUCCAGUCAAGAGGAGAAACAAGCCUCUGAAGAGCGGAUAUGAACCAAAUGCUUUCUUUGGUCAGUAACUCUGUCAUUCCUUCAGAACCCCUUUUUGAGACUUCUGAAAUUAGUCUGCCCUUUCUGUGCCCAAGCUCCUACUGUUAGACUGUCUGAGUGACUCCACAGAUGACUCCUGCAUUGAGGGUUUCCAGGAUUCCCAAUUAGCAGCUUUCACUAUGGCUUGCCAUCUCAUGUAGCUAUAAUUUUUAGCCAUGUAGGACAGAAGAGACAGUGUCAGCAAUUAUGUUCCUUUUUUUUUUUUUUUUUUUUCUCUUUUAAAUUAAAGAAGUAAAU
rnacentral:lncRNA from 1 species